rnacentral:rRNA from 1 species
CACGUACGCACCAAGCGUUGUCCGGAUUUAUUGGGCGUAAAGAGCUCGUAGGCGGUUCGGUAAGUCGGAUGUGAAAACUUUGGGCUCAACCCAAAGCGUGCAUUCGAUACUGCCAUGACUAGAGUUCGGUAGGGGAGUGGGGAAUUCCUAGUGUAGCGGUGAAAUGCGCAGAUAUUAGGAGGAACACCGGUGGCGAAGGCGCCACUCUGGGCCGAAACUGACGCUGAGGAGCGAAAGCGUGGGUAGCAAACAGG